rnacentral:rRNA from 1 species
UACGGAGGGAGCUAGCGUUGUUCGGAAUUACUGGGCGUAAAGCGCACGUAGGCGGCUUUGUAAGUUAGAGGUGAAAGCCCGGGGCUCAACUCCGGAACUGCCUUUAAGACUGCAUCGCUUGAAUCCGGGAGAGGUGAGUGGAAUUCCGAGUGUAGAGGUGAAAUUCGUAGAUAUUAGGAAGAACACCAGUGGCGAAGGCAGGUCUCUGGGCAUUAACUGACGCUGAGGAGCGAAAGCAUGGGGAGCGAACAGG